rnacentral:rRNA from 1 species
UGAGGGAAUAUUUGGGGACAAUGGAUGGAAAUCUGAUCCAGCCAUGCCGCGUGCAGGAAGACGGUCCUAUGGAUUGUAAACUGCUUUAGCAUGGGAGCAAUAAGGUGUACGCGUACACCGAUGAGAGUACCAUGAGAAUAAGCACCGGCUAACUCCGUGCCAGCAGCCGCGGUAAUACGGAGGGUGCAAGCGUUAUCCGGAUUUAUUGGGUUUAAAGGGUGCGUAGGCUGUAAGUCAAGUCAGCGGUGAAAAGUCGGGGCUAAACCUUGAGGGUGCCGUUGAAACUGAUUUACUAGAAUGUGGAUGAUGCCGGCGGAAUGUGUCAAGUAGCGGUGAAAUGCAUAGAUAUG